UGCUCGAGUGGCUAACGGGUGAGUAACACGUGAGUAACCUGCCCUUGACUUUGGGAUAACUUCAGGAAACUGGGGCUAAUACCGGAUAGGAGCUCCUGCUGCAUGGUGGUGGGUUGGAAAGUUUCGGCGGUUGGGGAUGGACUCGCGGCUUAUCAGCUUGUUGGUGGGGUAGUGGCUUACCAAGGCUUUGACGGGUAGCCGGCCUGAGAGGGUGACCGGCCACAUUGGGACUGAGAUACGGCCCAG
rnacentral:rRNA from 1 species